GCUUGUCUCAAAGAUUAAGCCAUGCAUGUCUAAGUAUAGUACCUUAUACUGCGAAACUGCGAAUGGCUCAUUAAAUCAGUUAUAAUUCAUUUGAUGGUACUUACUACUCGGAUAACCGUAGUAAUUCUAGAGCUAAUACGUGCGUAAAUCCCGACUUCUGGAAGGGGUGUAUUUAUUAGAUACAAAACCAAUGCCCUUCGGGGCUCCUUGGUGAUUCAUGAUAACUAUACGAAUCGCACGGCCUUGCGCCGGCGAUGGUUCAUUCAAAUUUCUUCCCUAUCAACUUUCGAUGUUUGGGUAUUGGCCAAACAUGGUUGCAACGGGUAACGGAGGGUUAGGGCUCGACCCCGGAGAAGGAGCCUGAGAAACGGCUACUACAUCCAAGGAAGGCAGCAGG
rnacentral:rRNA from 1 species